CUCAGCAGGAGUAAAUGAGGAAGUCCAGAGAAAACGGCCCCUUGGACAACAGUUCUCUGACGAGCUACCCCAAACUUCAAAUCCCACCCCCACCCCACAACCCUCUCAAGGGCAACCUACCCUGAAUUAUUAGGCAAUCUGAAAUCCUGGAUCUCCAGCCUUCUCGUUCCAGCCAAUGGAAGGUGAACAGAAGUGAUGUGCUCCACUUGUAGACCUGACCCAUAAAACUCAUUCUCCUUCUCCAUCCAGAAGCUCACUGGCAAGAACUCCAGAAUCUAGAGGAGGGAAGAGCCCCAAGAUGAAAGGAGCCUGGGUUCCUUAAUGACUGAAUGAAGUAGAGCCCCCCCCACCCCCAUUCCAGGCUAUACUGUACUAGACCUUAAUAUAAGCAGGAAAUAAAAUUUGAUUGUAUGAAGUCA